AUUUACACAACACAUACCAUCAUCCACUAUGAUCCAGCCGGCAACAACAAAUGUUAUAUUAAAUUAUGAUGGUAAGUUCUUAUCUAAAUAUACUGCUUUCAACUUCAAUUUUUUAUUUGCAUGUAUUAAUAUCUAUUUCUGAAUGUUAGGUAAUGUGAUUCACAACUACUAUCCACAUGCACCACACAUCAAGUGGGCACAUGCUUGUGACGGGACGUCAAAAGGUAAUAUGUAAAGAGUUUAUUCACUUUUCUUCAGUUUUAUACAUCUAAGUACUUACAUGGUAAUUUUAUUACAAACGAUUGGAGAAAUUCAUUUAGUGUUGAAAUUUUGGGUCCGUCAAUCAUGACAGAAGCCUUUUAACUUUUAUGAUGUAUACGAUUACGUUAAAAUGCAGUGUGUGAAAUGGAUUUCAUGUGUCGUAAAUGCAUUAUAUUGUGAAAACUAUGAUUAUCUACAAAUUCAUUAAAUUAUGUCUUAGUGUGGUGACAUAGGUAAUGAUGGAGAAAUCCAUUACCACACUCUAAAUAUGCUUAGCAUUGACGUUACAAAGAAAUGUCUAGUCCAGAAGGGUGGAGUUCUUUUUUGCUAGAAAACAGCUAAGCAUCCUGUACUUAUGCUAUACAUUUGGAGGAAAAGUAUAGUAUGAGGGAGCUGAGAUUUUUCGUUACCAUUUGGCUUUGUUUUUCGAAAUAUUCACAUGUUGCUGCAGAUUGGAAGUUCGUCUGAACAAUUGCUCGCAAUGGAAGCUACCUUGUGAAGUUUUUUGAUUUUUUGGUGUUUGAAUGCAGUUG
rnacentral:lncRNA from 1 species